UCCCUGGUGGUCCAGUGGUUAGGACUUUGCACUUCCACUGCAGGGGACCACACGUUUGAUUCUUGUUCAGGAAA
rnacentral:tRNA from 1 species